rnacentral:rRNA from 1 species
GGAUUAGAUACCCUGGUAGUCCACGCCGUAAACGAUGGUCACUAGCUGUUCGGCUUCGGCUGAGUGGCUAAGCGAAAGUGAUAAGUGACCCACCUGGGGAGUACGUUCGCAAGAAUGAAACUCAAAGGAAUUGACGGGGGCCCGCACAAGCGGUGGAGCAUGUGGUUUAAUUCGAUGAUACGCGAGGAACCUUACCAGGGCUUAAAUGUAGAUUGCAUUAGCUAGAGAUAGCUAUUUCUUCGGACUAUCUACAAGGUGCUGCAUGGUUGUCGUCAGCUCGUGCUG